rnacentral:rRNA from 1 species
CCUACGGGAGGCAGCAGUGAGGAAUAUUGGUCAAUGGGCGCGAGCCUGAACCAGCCAAGCCGCGUGAAGGAUGACUGCCCUACGGGUUGUAAACUUCUUUUAUAAAGGAAUAAAGUGAGGCACGUGUGCCUUUUUGUAUGUACUUUAUGAAUAAGGAUCGGCUAACUCCGUGCCAGCAGCCGCGGUAAUACGGAGGAUCCGAGCGUUAUCCGGAUUUAUUGGGUUUAAAGGGAGCGUAGAUGGGUUGUUAAGUCAGUUGUGAAAGUUUGCGGGUCAACCGUAAAAUUGCAAUUGAUACUGGCUGUCUUGAGUACAGUUGAGGUAGGCGGAAUGCGUGGUGUAGCGGUGAAAUGCUUAGAUAUCGCGAAGAACUCCGAUUGCGAAGGCAGCUUACUAACCUGCCACUGACAUUGAUGCUCGAAAGUGUGGGUAUCAAACAGGAUUAGAUACCCGAGUAGUC